rnacentral:rRNA from 1 species
CGGAGCUUGCUCCACCGGAAAAAGAAGAGUGGCGAACGGGUGAGUAACACGUGGGUAACCUGCCCAUCAGAAGGGGAUAACACUUGGAAACAGGUGCUAAUACCGUAUAACAAUCGAAACCGCAUGGUUUUGAUUUGAAAGGCGCUUUCGGGUGUCGCUGAUGGAUGGACCCGCGGUGCAUUAGCUAGUUGGUGAGGUAACGGCUCACCAAGGCCACGAUGCAUAGCCGACCUGAGAGGGUGAUCGGCCACAUUGGGACUGAGACACGGCCCAAACUCCUACGGGAGGCAGCAGUAGGGAAUCUUCGGCAAUGGACGAAAGUCUGACCGAGCAACGCCGCGUGAGUGAAGAAGGUUUUCGGAUCGUAAAACUCUGUUGUUAGAGAAGAACAAGGAUGAGAGUAACUGUUCAUCCCUUGACGGUAUCUAACCAGAAAGCCACGGCUAACUACGUGCCAGCAGCCGCGGUAAUACGUAGGUGGCAAGCGUUGUCCGGAUUUAUUGGGCGUAAAGCGAGCGCAGGCGGUUUCUUAAGUCUGAUGUGAAAGCCCCCGGCUCAACCGGGGAGGGUCAUUGGAAACUGGGAGACUUGAGUGCAGAAGAGGAGAGUGGAAUUCCAUGUGUAGCGGUGAAAUGCGUAGAUAUAUGGAGGAACACCAGUGGCGAAGGCGGCUCUCUGGUCUGUAACUGACGCUGAGGCUCGAAAGCGUGGGGAGCAAACAGGAUUAGAUACCCUGGUAGUCCACGCCGUAAACGAUGAGUGCUAAGUGUUGGAGGGUUUCCGCCCUUCAGUGCUGCAGCUAACGCAUUAAGCACUCCGCCUGGGGAGUACGACCGCAAGGUUGAAACUCAAAGGAAUUGACGGGGGCCCGCACAAGCGGUGGAGCAUGUGGUUUAAUUCGAAGCAACGCGAAGAACCUUACCAGGUCUUGACAUCCUUUGACCACUCUAGAGAUAGAGCUUCCCCUUCGGGGGCAAAGUGACAGGUGGUGCAUGGUUGUCGUCAGCUCGUGUCGUGAGAUGUUGGGUUAAGUCCCGCAACGAGCGCAACCCUUAUUGUUAGUUGCCAUCAUUCAGUUGGGCACUCUAGCAAGACUGCCGGUGACAAACCGGAGGAAGGUGGGGAUGACGUCAAAUCAUCAUGCCCCUUAUGACCUGGGCUACACACGUGCUACAAUGGGAAGUACAACGAGUCGCGAAGUCGCGAGGCUAAGCUAAUCUCUUAAAGCUUCUCUCAGUUCGGAUUGUAGGCUGCAACUCGCCUACAUGAAGCCGGAAUCGCUAGUAAUCGCGGAUCAGCACGCCGCGGUGAAUACGUUCCCGGGCCUUGUACACACCGCCCGUCACACCACGAGAGUUUGAACACCCGAAGUCGGGAGGUAACCU